rnacentral:rRNA from 1 species
GCGUCAGCUCGUAUGGGUUCGGCGCAUUGUGGUCUAUAGACAUAACGCCAGCACGUGACCCGUGUGUAAGUCCCUUGGAACGGGGCAUCAUAGAGGGUGAGAAUCCCGUCUGUCGCAUGGAGUUCGCUGCAUCCGGUGUAUGUUCUAAGAGUCGUACUUCUUGGGCUUGAAGUGCAAAGUGGGUGGUAAACUUCAUCUAAAGCUAAAUAUUUGCGAGAGACCGAUAGCGAACAAGUACCGUGAGGGAAAGAUGAAAAGAACUUUGAAAAGAGAGUUAAAAAGUGCUUGAAAUUGCUAAAAGAGAAGCGAUUUGAGCAAGUCUUAUGCGGCAAGAUAUUUACAUGUCGCUGGGUUGCGGCGGGUGACUGUGUGAAGCGUCGCAAGAUGCUCUAAGGUUGCUUGCUCGAGUGGCCGGUGGCUAGGAUCUGUGUUGCCGGAUUCGUCAGAAUAAUUUGGACUGCAAUGAUGGCGCUCUGAGAAGGUGGAAUUGUUGCGUGAUUAUCACGUUUUUCGGUUCUUUAUAGCUCUAGGCGCUCUACUGUGGUCUGGAUUGAGGCAUAACUUAAAUGUGACAACGCUUACUCUUCGGAGCUGAGGUGCAUCUAAGUCAUGGGUGUUGCGUUUCCUUGGAGAGCAAAGCUCUGCUUGGAAUCGUUGGCAUUCAGCGACACUGACUGCCCAUCUUAAGCGUUCGCGAUUCUGACAAAAUUGCUCAAACCGACCCGUCUUGAAACACGGACCAAGGAGUCUGACGUAUGUGCGAGUAUUCGGGUGGUAAACCCUGAUGCGCAAUGAAAGUGAAAGUUGUUAUUGGAACAAUUUGAGGUCAGAUGGUUGUCGCUUCGUG